ensembl:lncRNA
GUUCAGUUUAUGUUUACCCUGAAAUUCUUUUGACCUCCGGAAUGAUGUGCUAACCUCUGCAUCACAGCACAGAAAUUAUAUAUUUUAUAAACUGUUAUAAGCUUUAAUACUGUAAAAAAUAAUGUGAAAGCACAGCAGAUGGGAACAUAUUGUAAAUUUACACAUUUUUACAGUGUAUGUUGAAUAAUAAAUCUGUUUUCACCCUUGCAGCAUAAAUGAUGAACUGAGAACAAGAUGAGACAAGACAUCAUGCUCAGCAGACUGAUACUGCUGUCUGCCCUCUGUAUGGUAAUAUCCUUGGGAAGUCUGUUGGUCAUCUCGGCUUCACUUCAGUCACUCCAGUUGAAGAUUGUAGUCUGCUCAUCUGGAUCCUCACCUCCUUAUAAAGAUGAAUCAUGCAUGGCUACUGAUUUCACAGACGUCCUUCAUCAUUACUCCAUAUACCUCUGCAUGCAUUCUCUUGGCCUUUGUUCUUUUAAUGUCACCAGUAGAAAAGAGUGCAAAUUUUCAUGCAAAAAAAGAGAGCAUGCCUUAAGUCUGAAAGAG